rnacentral:rRNA from 1 species
UGCAAGUCGAACGAACUCUGGUAUUGAUUGGUGCUUGCAUCAUGAUUUACAUUUGAGUGAGUGGCGAACUGGUGAGUAACACGUGGGAAACCUGCCCAGAAGCGGGGGAUAACACCUGGAAACAGAUGCUAAUACCGCAUAACAACUUGGACCGCAUGGUCCGAGUUUGAAAGAUGGCUUCGGCUAUCACUUUUGGAUGGUCCCGCGGCGUAUUAGCUAGAUGGUGGGGUAACGGCUCACCAUGGCAAUGAUACGUAGCCGACCUGAGAGGGUAAUCGGCCACAUUGGGACUGAGACACGGCCCAAACUCCUACGGGAGGCAGCAGUAGGGAAUCUUCCACAAUGGACGAAAGUCUGAUGGAGCAACGCCGCGUGAGUGAAGAAGGGUUUCGGCUCGUAAAACUCUGUUGUUAAAGAAGAACAUAUCUGAGAGUAACUGUUCAGGUAUUGACGGUAUUUAACCAGAAAGCCACGGCUAACUACGUGCCAGCAGCCGCGGUAAUACGUAGGUGGCAAGCGUUGUCCGGAUUUAUUGGGCGUAAAGCGAGCGCAGGCGGNUUUUUAAGUCUGAUGUGAAAGCCUUCGGCUCAACCGAAGAAGUGCAUCGGAAACUGGGAAACUUGAGUGCAGAAGAGGACAGUGGAACUCCAUGUGUAGCGGUGAAAUGCGUAGAUAUAUGGAAGAACACCAGUGGCGAAGGCGGCUGUCUGGUCUGUAACUGACGCUGAGGCUCGAAAGUAUGGGUAGCAAACAGGAUUAGAUACCCUGGUAGUCCAUACCGUAAACGAUGAAUGCUAAGUGUUGGAGGGUNUCCGCCCUUCAGUGCUGCAGCUAACGCAUUAAGCAUUCCGCCUGGGGAGUACGGCCGCAAGGCUGAAACUCAAAGGAAUUGACGGGGGCCCGCACAAGCGGUGGAGCAUGUGGUUUAAUUCGAAGCUACGCGAAGAACCUUACCAGGUCUUGACAUACUAUGCAAAUCUAAGAGAUUAGACGUUCCCUUCGGGGACAUGGAUACAGGUGGUGCAUGGUUGUCGUCAGCUCGUGUCGUGAGAUGUUGGGUUAAGUCCCGCAACGAGCGCAACCCUUAUUAUCAGUUGCCAGCAUUAAGUUGGGCACUCUGGUGAGACUGCCGGUGACAAACCGGAGGAAGGUGGGGAUGACGUCAAAUCAUCAUGCCCCUUAUGACCUGGGCUACACACGUGCUACAAUGGAUGGUACAACGAGUUGCGAACUCGCGAGAGUAAGCUAAUCUCUUAAAGCCAUUCUCAGUUCGGAUUGUAGGCUGCAACUCGCCUACAUGAAGUCGGAAUCGCUAGUAAUCGCGGAUCAGCAUGCCGCGGUGAAUACGUUCCCGGGCCUUGUACACACCGCCCGUCACACCAUGAGAGUUUGUAACACCCAAAGUCGGUGGGGUAACCUUUUAGGAACCAG